AUGUGGGCACCUGAUAUCUAUGAGGGUUCACCCACCCCGGUGACAUCAUUCCUUUCUAUUGUGCCUAAAAUCUCUAUUUUUGCAAAUAUGUCACGUGUUUCUAUUGUUGCUUCCUAUGGGGGUACAUUACAACAAAUCUUCUUUUUCUGCAGCAUUGCUUCUAUGAUCUUAGGAGCACUGGCCGCCAUGGCCCAAACGAAAGUCAAAAGACCUCUAGCUCAUAGUUCGAUUGGACAUGUAGGUUAUAUUCGUACCGGUUUCUCAUGUGGAACCAUAGAAGGAAUUCAAUCACUACUAAUUGGUAUAUUUAUUUAUGCAUCAAUGACGAUAGAUGCAUUCGCCAUAGUUCCAGCAUUACGGCAAACCCGUGUCAAAUAUAUAGCGUAUUUGGGCGCUCUAGCCAAAACGAAUCCUAUUUCGACUAUGACCUUCUCCAUUACAAUGUUCUCAUAUGCAGGAACACCCCCGUUAGCCGGCUUUUCUAGCAAAUUCUAUUUGUUCUUCGCCGCUUUGGGUUGUGGGGCUUACUUCCUAGCCCCAGUGGGAGUAGUGACUAGCAUUAUAGGUCGUUGGGUGGCCGGAAGGUUGCCAUGA
rnacentral:rRNA from 1 species